UACGGAGGGUGCAAGCGUUAUCCGGAUUCACUGGGCGUAAAGGGCGCGUAGGCGGUCAGCACAAGUCAGUUGUGAAAUCUCCGGGCUUAACUCGGAACGGUCAAGUGAUACUGUCGGGCUAGAGUGCAGAAGGGGCAACUGGAAUUCUCGGUGUAGCGGUGAAAUGCGUAGAUAUCGAGAGGAACACCUGCGGCGAAGGCGGGUUGCUGGGCUGACACUGACGCUGAGGCGCGAAAGCCAGGGGAGCGAACGGG
rnacentral:rRNA from 1 species